GCGCCCGUAGCUCAGUCGGACAGAGCGACGGACUUCGAAUCCGUAGGUCGCAGGUUCGAUCCCUGCCGGGCGUACCA
rnacentral:tRNA from 1 species